GUUGAUCUCUUUAGGGGAUCGGCCUCCUUGGAACACUAUAGGGGUUCCUCCCUCCAAGUUGCUGCUCAAAGGCUACAGAAAAGAUUCAUCUAUUGCUUAUCAAAAGAGGAGGAAUACAUGACUAUUUAUAGGGCUUCUAAACCCUAACUCCUAAUAGGACUCCUACUUAAAACUCUUACUUCUAACCAACUCCUAAUAGGACUCCUACUCAAGACUCCUAUUCCCUUACAACUCCUAAUUCUUCUCUAAGAAAAAACCUCUUACAUGAAUGUCCCUCUCAAUUAGGACUCUCCUAGCUAGAGUCCUAACAGAAUGUCCUUCUCAAUUAGGACUCUCCUAGCUAGAGUCCUAACAGAAUGUCCCUCUCAAUUAGG
rnacentral:lncRNA from 1 species